CCUUCUCCAUGUUGGCUUUCCGUGCUGAUUCCUAAAAUUGUUUUUCAUCCAGUCUUCUGUCAGACCUGGGUUUCUGCUCACCUCUUUUUCCUUCCUGAUGUUCUUUCCUUAAUAUGCCCAGAGUAUCAAGUGCAGGCUGAGUUUCCGGUGUGGGGGGUGUGUGUGUGUGUGUGUGUGAGAGAGAGAGUCCAAACUCCGUGCCUGCUGCCACUCCCACCUCCAGCUCAGCAGGCAUGAAUGAGGCUGUGGCUUCCUGCUCCCUCCUUGUCCCCUCUUCCUUCUAGUUGUCUGGGUAUGAGGCAGCUGUGCCAAUCACAGAGAAGUCAAAUCCACUGACCCGGGACCUAGACAUAGCAGAUGCUGAGAAAAUUGUUCGACUGCUGGGGCAAUGUGAUGCUGAGAUCUUCCAGGAGGAGGGGCAAGCUCUGCCCACAUACCAGAGAUUCUAUAGCGAAUCUGUUUUGACCACCACGGUACAAGUGGCCGGGAAAGUUCAGGAAGUGCUGAAGGUACAACCUUCCUUCUGCUCCCUGCCUCAACUUUUCUGCUUCCCUCUUUCUCUUUCUUUAGUCUCUAUUUCUCACUUUUGCAGAACUCAUUCUCCUUUCUCUCUUUUGGAGAUCCUCCCUUUUGGAUCCUUAUUUUCAUCUUAUUAUUAAUAAUAACUUAGGCUGAACGUGGUGGCUCACGCCUAUAGUCCCCGCACUUUGGGAGGCCGAGGCAGGUGGAUCACGAGGUCAAGAGAUCGAGACCAUCCUGGUCAACAAGGUGAAACCCCGUCUCUACUAAAAAUACAAAAAUUAGCUGGGCAUGGUGGUGCACACCUGUAGUCCCAGCUACUUCGGAGGCUGAGGCAGGAGAGUUGCUUGAACCCAGAAGGCGGAGGUUGCGGUGAGCCAAGAUCGUGCCAUUGUACUCCAGUCUGGGUAACAACAGCGAAACUCCGCCUCAAAAAAAAAAAAAAAAAUAAUAAUAAUAGUAACAAGUUAUCUGCUUAACACUUGUAAUUGACAGUCUACUUUCACAGCUAUUACCUCACAAAAACCGGUGAAGUUGACAUGAUUUUUGUUUGUUUGUUUUUAUCAGGUGAAAAAACAAAGACUUAGAAAGAUAAUCACUGUAGCUUGUCAAAUACACUCAGCUAAUAAUUGCUGGAUAAGGCUGCUUUUAUUAUGUGCUUUUAUUUAGAUGACAAAGCUGCUUUCCUUCUUUCAGGGAUAAGUAAGGAUUUGAAUAAGUAGUGGAGCAAGACCUGGGAGUCAAACUGGUUUCUCUAAUCCGGUGUUCUUUUUCUACACUACACUGCAUGUAUUUGUUCACUUUUGUGAUGAGAGGAGGGAUAAGGAGCCUUUUCAGUUCCUCUUGCAUUACUGACAAAGAAUAUGCUUCCCCCAACCUAAGCCAGGCCCUGGUGAUAUACGCCUUUUUCCUUCUUCAGGAGCCAGAUGUAUUGAGUGGAGGGGGCACCUCUGGCCGGAUGGCAUUCCUCAUGUCAGUGAGCACCGUGGUCCCCGGUUUUCUUACCUCUCCACUUCUUGAGGUGACCCUCAGGACCAUAAAGAUCACCAUAACUGAGCUCCCAGGGCCCCCCUCAUUAGACCUGGACUCCAAGCGUGGCUCUCUCUCUCUUCCAAAAGCUAGGCGUCACCAUGAAGUCCCAUUUCUUCUGAGCCCAUCUGAGUCCCACCAGUCUGUUGUCAAUGUCUCUACAUCCCAUGCACUGCCAACUAAUCAUCCCCAAGUGGCUGCUUUAAGCGCCAGAUUCCAUGUAGGACUGGGUUAAGCACUGGUCUAAGAGAAUCAUUAUAUAGUCUCUGUCCUCUAGGAGUUGAAAAUCCAAGAUAAUUGUUUCUUCUCUGUCAUUACCCCUUCACAUCCUCUCCCCUUCACACAUGUCCUCUAAUCAGCUGAUGAAGGGUCUGGGACAGAAACCUCUUUACACCUACCUCAUUGCAGGGGGUGACAGGUAAGCCAAGUUAGGCUGUGAAUAUUUUGUUUGGCCUGAAUAGUGCUUCUUAGAAAUUGAGCUGAAUGCCUUUAGGCAGAGAUUGAGUCCAGCUUGCCUUAGUCCCCCAUUCCUUACUGCCUUACACUUGGUCCACUUUAUAUACUUAUCUCGCCUGACCGGCUGUUGUAGGUAUUUGGGUUAUUUGGGUUUUUCAACUCUAUGGAGUGUCUAUCAUGGUGCCCAACAAACAGUGGGUGCUCAUUCAAUGAUAGUUUUCCCUUUAUUCCCAUCUCUUAAUGUAGCCUGCCCUAAUAAACCAUAAGCUUCUGCUUCCCAGCCAGUGCCACUGACCUUGACUCUGUGGUGGCCUCUAGGGAGGGGACGGAAGAUAGUGCCUUGCACGCGAUUAAGGAACUGAAAAAGGUCUGUGCUUCCCACUGAUACUUGACCAGAGACCUCUAUCUGUUCCUUCUCAUGGGGACAUAAAAGCCCCAGCAUUCAGCCAAAGCCUAUUCCCUCUCUCCCCUGUUCCUGGCCCUGAUACCCUCACACAGUAGGUUUGUGCCUGGAAUCCUCCCAUUUACACUGCGUUGUCCAUCCUCUUCUCCUAGGUGGAUGCCGGGAAGAAGAGGGUGAUUGUCGUUCACAUUUCUGUGGGACUCUCUGUGAGUAGAAAGAUGGGUUGAGUGGAUGAAUUUUAGAGAGAAGAAGUGAGUGGGAACGGAAUAGCAUGGAAGAUAGAUCAAUGAGGUGGGUGCUAGAAAGCAGGAAGUUUGCUCAAGGAAUUUCGGUUUUCGUUUCACUAACUUGGAUCGAGUUGUAUGAAUGUGGGAAGAUGGGGAAGGGAUUCAAUUUGAGAAUAACUGUAUCAAUCAAUCAGCAACCAAGAGAGGUGGACUGGUCCAAGGGUAAGCAAACUAUACCGGCUGGCCAAUGCAGCCAGCUGCCUGUUUUUUAAAUUUUUUCCUUUUAUUGAGACUGAGUCUUGCUCUGUCACCCAGGCUGCACUGCAAUGGCAUGAUCUCAUCUCGCUGCAGCCUCCACCUCCCAUGCUCAGAUGUGGUUCUAUGCAUGAGCUGUCUGGGGGGAGUGUUACAGAAAAAUAAAAAAGAUUCUUAGUUCCUUGUGCGAGAGGUCUGGUUUUGUAGGUUUGGAGUAAGGCCCUGAAAUAUCUAUUUUUUGAAAGCAUCCCUAGAGAUUCUGAUGCAGAGCCAGAACUGGGGAACUCUGCUAAAUAAACCAUUGGAGUGGGCCACCUGACAAAGCUGAGGGCUUCCUGACACCAGAGGGGUAUGGCAGAGGCUUGUUGAAAAUUUUAGAGCAGCUUUUUUUAUUUAGUGGCGGUCUUGGGAAGGGAGACCAGCGGAUUUUUCAAAGGUGCUUUUCCACCUCCCAGAUUCUAGGCUGUAUAACUCAUGUGAAGGUGUAAAUGAAUCUGAAAUACCCUAACCCUGAUCCUUUUCAUGAGGGCCCUCCUUCACCAAAAAUGUAUCUGCUGCAGUGGAUGCUAAUUUCAGGCCUGAUGACUAAGUGAAAUGAGGAAUUUCAAAACAGUGUAGGCGUGGAGAUCUUCCAGUUGUUUCUUAAAUCAGUAGCUCCCAAACUUGGCUGAUUUUCAGUCAUCUGGGAAGCUUUCUAAAAAUACAGAUUUUGGAGCUCCAUUCCAGAACUACUGAAUCUGAAUCUUAGGGUGGAUGUGGUACCCAGAAAUGGCUAGUUAUUAAAAAACAAAACUCCCCAGAUGAUUUAGAUGCCCAGCUGUGUUUAGGAAUCUAGACGUUAAACCAUCUAAUAUGAACCCUAUCUCUGCUUUCUGCUUUAGUU